GCCUACGGCCAUACCACCCUGAAAGCGUCUGAUCUCGGAAGCUAAGCAGGGACGGGCCUUGUUAGUACCUGGAUGGGAGACCGCCUGGGAAUACCAGGUGUUGUAGGCU
rfam:Xenopus tropicalis strain Nigerian scaffold_1360_contig_8, whole genome shotgun sequence.